CCUACGGGAGGCAGCAGUGGGGAAUCUUGCGCAAUGGGCGGAAGCCUGACGCAGCAACGCCGCGUGCGGGAAGAAGGCCUUAGGGUCGUAAACCGCUUUCAGGGGGGACGAAGCUUCCGGGGUUAAUAGCCUACGGGGUGACGGUACUCCCAAAAGAAGGUCCGGCUAACUACGUGCCAGCAGCCGCGGUAAUACGUAGGGACCGAGCGUUGUCCGGAAUCAUUGGGCGUAAAGAGCGUGUAGGCGGCCUAGUAGGUCUCGUGUGAAAUCCCGUGGCUCAACCACGGACACGCACGGGAAACCCCUAGGCUCGAGUCCGGAAGAGGAGAGCGGAAUUCCUGGUGUAGCGGUGAAAUGCGCAGAUAUCAGGAAGAACACCCGUAGCGAAGGCGGCUCUCUGGGACGGUACUGACGCUGAGACGCGAAAGCGUGGGGAGCAAACAGGAUUAGAUACCCUGGUAGUCCACGCCGUAAACGAUGGAUGCUAGGUGUGGGAGGUGUCGACUCCUCCCGUGCCGAAGCUAACGCAUUAAGCAUCCCGCCUGGGGAGUACGGCCGCAAGGCUAAAACUCAAAGAUAUGCGNGNGAGNGCGACGACGACGACGACGAGGAGAG
rnacentral:rRNA from 1 species